rnacentral:rRNA from 1 species
UNGACCUCGGAUCAGGUAGGGAUACCCG